rnacentral:rRNA from 1 species
ACGCGAGGAACCUUACCAGGUCUUGACAUCCCAUUGACCGCUAUGGAGACAUAGCUUUCCCUUCGGGGACAGUGGUGACAGGUGGUGCAUGGUUGUCGUCAGCUCGUGUCGUGAGAUGUUGGGUUAAGUCCCGCAACGAGCGCAACCCUUGUUCUUAGUUGCCAUCAUUUAGUUGGGCACUCUAAGGUGACUGCCGGUGACAAACCGGAGGAAGGUGGGGAUGACGUCAAAUCAUCAUGCCCCUUAUGACCUGGGCUACACACGUGCUACAAUGGAUGGUACAAAGGGCAGCAAAGCGGUGACGCCUAGCAAAUCCCAUAAAACCAUUCUCAGUUCGGAUUGUAGGCUGCAACUCGCCUACAUGAAGCUGGAAUCGCUAGUAAUCGCGGAUCAGCAUGCCGCGGUGAAUACGUUCCCGGGCCUUGCACACACCGCCCGU